rfam:Marine actinobacterium MedAcidi-G2B MedDCM-JTLCOM-C107, whole genome shotgun sequence.
GCGGACGUGGCGAAAUUGGCAUACGCACCGGCCUUAGGAGCCGGCGCCGCAAGGCAUGGGGGUUCGAGUCCCCCCGUCCGCA